rnacentral:rRNA from 1 species
UACAGAGGUCCCAAGCGUUGUUCGGAUUCACUGGGCGUAAAGGGUGCGUAGGCGGUCGGGUAAGUCUGACGUGAAAUCCCCGAGCCUAACUCGGAAACUGCGUCGGAUACUAUUCGGCUAGAGGAAUGGAGGGGAGACUGGAAUUCUCGGUGUAGCAGUGAAAUGCGUAGAUAUCGAGAGGAACACCAGUGGCGAAGGCGAGUCUCUGGACAUUUCCUGACGCUGAGGCACGAAAGCCAGGGGAGCAAACGGG